GAUGAACGCUGGCGGCGUGCUUAACACAUGCAAGUCGAACGAAGCAUUUAGGACAGAUUACUUCGGUUUGAAGUUCUUUAUGACUGAGUGGCGGACGGGUGAGUAACGCGUGGGUAACCUGCCUUGUACUGGGGGAUAGCAGCUGGAAACGGCUGGUAAUACCGCAUAAGCGCACAAUGUUGCAUGACAUGGUGUGAAAAACUCCGGUGGUAUAAGAUGGACCCGCGUCUGAUUAGCUAGUUGGUGAGAUAACAGCCCACCAAGGCGACGAUCAGUAGCCGACCUGAGAGGGUGACCGGCCACAUUGGGACUGAGACACGGCCCAGACUCCUACGGGAGGCAGCAGUGGGGAAUAUUGCACAAUGGAGGAAACUCUGAUGCAGCGACGCCGCGUGAGUGAAGAAGUAAUUCGUUAUGUAAAGCUCUAUCAGCAGGGAAGAUAGUGACGGUACCUGACUAAGAAGCUCUGGCUAAAUACGUG
rnacentral:rRNA from 1 species